UGAUUUAUUAUGCUAGCAGCUAACGUAACUUAACUGUAUGGAACUUGGUCCCCAUCUUCUAUUUUGUUUGUUCUGCAGCGUCAACUUUUAUCGGCUGGAUUCUAGCAUCUAACGUUACGAUUGCCUCUGUUGGGUUUGCUUGAUCAACCAUCGUUUCGGGGACUCUGAUGACAGUGAAGAGCCAGAAAAUGGUGACUUUGCAUCUCUGAGGUACCUUCCAACUCGCCUGGUAUAUCAGUUGAAGCCUCAAGCCCAAGCCAAUUGCACUGGCAAACUCCACCAUCUCGCCGAGUGCUAGGCAGCCGAGUCACUACCCCUCAACCUGGAGAAAACUGUUAAGCACCUCACCAUGGGGCAGGACCGCAACACUCUUCACCACCUCAACUCCCUGCACCUGC